AUUGAACGCUGGCGGCAGGCCUAACACAUGCAAGUCGAGCGAGCGGCGGACGGGUGAGUAAUGUCUGGGAAACUGCCUGAUGGAGGGGGAUAACUACUGGAAACGGUAGCUAAUACCGCAUACCAUCAGAUGUGCCCAGAUGGGAUUAGCUAGUAGGUGGGGUAAUGGCUCACCUAGGCGACGAUCCCUAGCUGGUCUGAGAGGAUGACCAGCCACACUGGAACUGAGACACGGUCCAGACUCCGACGGGAGGCAGCAGUGGGGAAUAUUGCACAAUGGGCGCAAGCCUGAUACAGCCAUGCCGCGUGUGUGAAGAAGGCCUUCGGGUUGUAAAGCACUUUCAGCGGGGAGGCGUUACUCGCAGAAGAAGCACCGGCUAACUCCGUGCCAGCAGCCGCGGUAAUUC
rnacentral:rRNA from 1 species